AGGACGAACGCUGGCGGUGUGCUUCACACAUGCAAGUCGAACGGGGUAGCAAUACCCAGUGGCGGACGGGUGAGUAACGCGUGGGAAUCUGCCUAAAAAUGGGGGAUAGCUGGCCGAAAGGCUAAUUAAUACCGCAUAGGCCUAUAUUUCGACAGUUUUAUAGGUUAAAGGAGUAAUCCGUUUUUAGAUGAGCCCGCGUCCGAUUAGCUAGUUGGUAGGGUAAAGGCCUACCAAGGCUACGAUCGGUAGGUGGCCCGAGAGGGCGAUCACCCACAAUGGAACUGAGACACGGUCCAUACUCCUACGGGAGGCAGCAGUGGGGAAUUUUACGCAAUGGGCGAAAGCCUGACGUAGCGACACCGCGUGAACGAAGAAGCCUUUUGGGGUGUAAAGUUCUGUCGGCUGGGAAGAAAAAAUGACGGUACCAGCAAAGGAAGCAUCGGACUAACUACGCGCCAGCAGCCGC
rnacentral:rRNA from 1 species